rnacentral:rRNA from 1 species
CAAGGCUUGACAUAUACCUGAAAAGGCUGGAAACAGUCUCCCCGCAAGGCAGGUAUACAGGUGGUGCAUGGUUGUCGUCAGCUCGUGUCGUGAGAUGUUGGGUUAAGUCCCGCAACGAGCGCAACCCUCGUUCUAUGUUGCCAGCGCGUUAUGGCGGGAACUCAUAGGAGACUGCCGGGGUCAACUCGGAGGAAGGUGGGGAUGACGUCAAAUCAUCAUGCCCCUUAUGUCUUGGGCUUCACGCAUGCUACAAUGGCCGGUACAAAGGGCUGCAAUACCGCAAGGUGGAGCGAAUCCCAAAAAGCCGGUCUCAGUUCGGAUUGAGGUCUGCAACUCGACCUCAUGAAGUCGGAGUCGCUAGUAAUCGCAGAUCAGCAACGCUGCGGUGAAUACGUUCCC